UUCGACUUCCCCUGGGGG
rnacentral:snRNA from 1 species